UAUNGCGCAAUGGGCGAAAGCCUGACGCAGCNACGCCGCGUGUGUGAUGAAGGUCUUUGGAUUGUAAAGCACUUUCGACCGGGACGAAAACCCCUUGGCUAAUACUCAAGGGCUUGACGGUACCGGGAGAAGAAGCACCGGCUAACUCUGUGCCAGCAGCCGCGGUAAUACAGAGGGUGCAAGCGUUGUUCGGAAUUAUUGGGCGUAAAGCGCGUGUAGGCGGCUUUGCAAGUCGGAUGUGAAAGCCCUCGGCUCAACCGAGGAAGUGCGUUCGAAACUGCAGAGCUUGAGUGCCGGAGAGGGUGGCGGAAUUCCCCAAGUAGAGGUGAAAUUCGUAGAUAUGGGGAGGAACACCGGUGGCGAAGGCGGCCACCUGGACGGUGACUGACGCUGAGGCGCGAAAGCGUGGGUAGCAAACAG
rnacentral:rRNA from 1 species